GGGUGCUCGAGUGGCGAACGGGUGAGUAACACGUGAGUAACCUGCCCUUGACUUUGGGAUAACUUCAGGAAACUGGGGCUAAUACCGGAUAGGAGCUCCUGCUGCAUGGUGGGGGUUGGAAAGUUUCGGCGGUUGGGGAUGGACUCGCGGCUUAUCAGCUUGUUGGUGGGGUAGUGGCUUACCAAGGCUUUGACGGGUAGCCGGCCUGAGAGGGUGACCGGCCACAUUGGGACUGAUAUACGGCCCAG
rnacentral:rRNA from 1 species